rnacentral:tRNA from 1 species
GAAAAUGUGGCUAGCGUCCGGAAAGAGCGCCGGGUUUCUAACCCGGAGGUGAUUGGAGUUGGGCGUUCCGAGUACGUCAUUGUCGCCA